rnacentral:misc_RNA from 1 species
UCGUAACAAGGUUUCCGUAGGUGAACCUGCGGAAGGAUCAUUAAAGAGAUAGGGUCUUCAUGGCCCGACCUCCAACCCUCUGUUGUUAAAACUACCUUGUUGCUUUGGCGGGACCGUCUCGGUCUCCGAGCGCACUAACCCUCGGGUUGGUGAGCGCCCGCCAGAGUCCAACCAAACUCUUGUAUUAAACCAGUCGUCUGAGUAUAAAAUUUUAAUUAAAUUAAAACUUUCAACAACGGAUCUCUUGGUUCUCGCAUCGAUGAAGAACGCAGCGAAAUGCGAUAAGUAAUGUGAAUUGCAGAAUUCAGUGAAUCAUCGAAUCUUUGAACGCACAUUGCGCCCCUUGGUAUUCCGAGGGGCAUGCCUGUUCGAGCGUCAUUACACCACUCAAGCAUCGCUUGGUAUUGGGAACGGUCCGUCGCAAGGCGGGCCUUCCUCGAAGACCUCGGCGGGGUUCAACCAACUUCGGGCGUAGUAGAGUUAAAUCGAACGUCUUAUAAGUUUGGUCGGAUCUCAUUGCCGUUAAACCUUUAAAUUUUCUAGGUUGACCUCGGAUCAGGUAGGGAUACCCGCUGAACUUAAGCAUAUCAAUAA